rnacentral:rRNA from 1 species
GAGAAUUUUUCUCAAUGGGGGAAACCCUGAAGGCGCGACGCCGCGUGGAGGAUGAAGGUCUUCGGAUCGUAAACUCCUGUCAUUUGAGAACAAGUGUAUGCCAAUAACUACGGCGUACUUGAUAGUAUCAGAAGAGGAAGAGGCGGCUAACUCUGUGCCAGCAGCCGCGGUAAUACAGAGGCCUCAAGCGUUGUUCGGAUUCAUUGGGCGUAAAGGGUGCGUAGGCGGUUCCGUAAGUCGGAUGUGAAAUCUUGGGGCUCAACCUCAAAACUGCAUUCGAUACUGCGGGGCUAGAGGACUGGAGAGGAGAGUGGAAUUCACGGUGUAGCAGUGAAAUGCGUAGAUAUCGUGAGGAAGACCAGCGGCGAAGGCGGCUCUCUGGACAGUUCCUGGCGCUGAUGCACGAAGGCCAGGGGAGCAAACG